rnacentral:rRNA from 1 species
UACAGAGGUCUCAAGCGUUGUUCGGAUUCAUUGGGCGUAAAGGGUGCGUAGGCGGCGCGGUAAGUCGGGUGUGAAAUCUCGGAGCUUAACUCCGAAACUGCAUUCGAUACUGCCGUGCUUGAGGACUGGAGAGGAGACUGGAAUUUACGGUGUAGCGGUGAAAUGCGUAGAUAUCGUAAGGAAGACCAGUGGCGAAGGCGGGUCUCUGGGCCGAUACUGACGCUGAGGAACGAAAGCGUGGGGAGCGAACAGG